AUACGGAGGGUGCAAGCGUUACUCGGAAUCACUGGGCGUAAAGCGCGCGCAGGCGGGCUGAUAAGUUGGAUGUGAAAGCCUACGGCUCAACCGUAGAACUGCAUCCAAAACUGUCAGUCUAGAGGCUGGGAGGGGAAGAUGGAAUUAGUUGUGUAGGGGUAAAAUCCGUAGAGAUAACUAGGAAUACCAAAAGCGAAGGCGAUCUUCUGGAACAGUACUGACGCUGAGGCGCGAAAGCGUGGGGAGCAAACAGGAUUAGAAACCCUAGUAGUCC
rnacentral:rRNA from 1 species